GAGAGAUUAAUUCAAUGGUAGAAUGGCUACCUUACGCGUAGAUUGUUAUGAGUUCGAAUCUCUUAUCUCUUA
rnacentral:tRNA from 1 species